rnacentral:rRNA from 2 species
GAGUUUGAUCCUGGCUCAGAAUGAACGCUGGCGGCAGGCCUAACACAUGCAAGUCGAACGGAGUUAUAUUGUAGCUUGCUAUGGUAUAACUUAGUGGCAGACGGGUGAGUAAUGUAUAGGAAUCUACCUAGUAGUACGGAAUAAUUGUUGGAAACGGCAACUAAUACCGUAUACGCCCUACGGGGGAAAAAUUUAUUGCUAUUAGAUGAGCCUAUAUUAGAUUAGUUAGUUGGUGAGGUAAAGGCUUACCAAGACAAUGAUCUAUAGCUGAUCUGAGAGGAUGAUCAGCCACACUGGAACUGAGAUACGGUCCAGACUCCUACGGGAGGCAGCAGUGGGGAAUAUUGGACAAUGGGCGAAAGCCUGAUCCAGCCAUGCCGCAUGAGUGAAGAAGGCCUUCGGGUUGUAAAGCUCUUUUAGUGAGGAAGAUAAUGACGGUACUCACAGAAGAAGUCCUGGCUAACUCCGUGCCAGCAGCCGCGGUAAUACGGAGAGGGCUAGCGUUAUUCGGAAUCAUUGGGCGUAAAGGGCGCGUAGGCGGGUUAGUAAGUUAAAAGUGAAAUCCCAAGGCUCAACCUUGGAACUGCUUUUAAAACUGCUAGUCUAGAGAUUGAAAGAGGAUAGAGGAAUUCCUAGUGUAGAGAUGAAAUUCGUAAAUAUUAGGAGGAACACCAGUGGCGAAGGCGUCUAUCUGGUUCAAAUCUGACGCUGANGCGCGAAGGCGUGGGGAGCAAACAGGAUUAGAUACCC